rnacentral:rRNA from 1 species
CGUAGGUGGCAAGCGUUGUCCGGAAUUAUUGGGCGUAAAGCGCGCGUAGGUGGGAUCAUAAGUCUUAUGUAAAAGUGCGGGGCUCAACCCCGUAAAGCGUGAGAAACUGUGAUUCUUGAGUGCAGGAGAGGAAAGCGGAAUUCCCAGUGUAGCGGUGAAAUGCGUAGAUAUUGGGAGGAACACCAGUGGCGAAGGCGGCUUUCUGGACUGUGUCUGACACUGAGGCGCGAAAGCUAGGGGAGCGAACGGGAUUAGAUACCCCGGUAGUCCUAGCCGUAAACGAUGGGUACUAGGUGUAGGGGGUAUCGACCCCUCCUGUGCCGGAGUUAACGCAAUAAGUACCCCGCCUGGGGAGUACGGCCGCAAGGUUG